CUCCACACUCGGCCCUUUCCGGUGCUCCCCGCCCGGGUUUCCCCCCGCAGGAAACACCAUCAGAGUCACUGGCUCCGGCCUGGACGAGGACGCGCCUCUCUCUUCUCGCGGCCCGCAGCCCUAAGAGUCUAGGUCCUAGGAGAAGCCAACGCACAGCGUGGAGACGGUAGACGCGGGGUCCCUGGCUUCCCCCACAUGCUGCCCAGAGCCCCUUUCGGACACUCCAGGACUGCACGCAGGAGGGUACCUCCAGUGAUGCUCAGGGGUUACCCUCUGGAUCUGUGCUCAGGAAUCAUUUCUGGUGGUGUAGUGGGACCCUAUGAAAUGCAGAGAUUGAGCCCAGGUGGGCAGCUUGCAAGGUAAGCGCCCUCCCUGCUGUACUAUCUCUCCAGCCCCUAUCCCACCUUUUACUUGCCCACGCAAAGUGCAAGCCCAGGUUCUCCAUGUACUCCCUCCUUUCACUUCCCACUCCUGUCUACACUGCCAACUCUGUGUUCACAAGGUUCAUUGUCCUGACCUCAGCCUAUGCCCAGGCACCUUCAUGCUGAAGCCUCCAUUGGCAUGUGAAGGUGCCAGUGAGGCUGCCUGGCCACACAGCCUCCCUCCACCCCAUUCUUCUCUCAAGCACCCGAAGUGCCCAAUCCCUGCUUGGGCCAGGGGUUCACUUGCAGGCCCUAGGCCUGGUUUACCUAAGGUGGGACCUCGGGGCUGGAGAGAUAGUCCUAUGUGGAGGGAACUUCCCUUGCACAUGGCUGACUUGGAUUUGAUCGUCGGCAUCCCAU